GCGUAUACAAUCUACCUUAUACUGGGGGAUAGCCUUUGGAAACGAAGAUUAAUACCCCAUGGUAUUACUGAAUGGCAUCGUUUAGUGAUUAAAACUCCGGUGGUAUAAGAUGAGUAUGCGUUCUAUUAGCUAGAUGGAGAGGUAACGGCUCCCCAUGGCAACGAUAGAUAGGGGUCCUGAGAGGGAGAUCCCCCACACUGGUACUGAGACACGGACCAGACUCCUACGGGAGGCAGCA
rnacentral:rRNA from 16 species